UACGUAGGGGGCAAGCGUUGUUCGGAAUUACUGGGCGUAAAGGGCGCGUAGGCGGCCCGGCAAGUCGGGAGUGAAAGCCCGGGGCUCAACCCCGGAGGGUCUUCCGAAACUGCCGAGCUAGAGUGCGGAAGAGGCAACCGGAAUUCCCAGUGUAGCGGUGAAAUGCGUAGAUAUUGGGAAGAACACCAGAGGCGAAGGAGGGUUGCUGGGCCGACACUGACGCUGAGGCGCGAAAGCCAGGGGAGCAAACGGG
rnacentral:rRNA from 1 species